rnacentral:rRNA from 1 species
AGGACGAACGCUGGCGGCGUGCUUAACACAUGCAAGUCGAGCGGAAAGGCCCUUCGGGGUACUCGAGCGGCGAACGGGUGAGUAACACGUGAGUAAUCUGCCCCUAGCUCUGGGAUAGCUCCGGGAAACCGGGAUUAAUACUGGAUACGACCACCUUAGACAUCUUUUGUGGUGGAAAGAAUUUCGGCUAGGGAUGAGCUCGCGGCCUAUCAGCUUGUUGGUGGGGUAACGGCCUACCAAGGCGACGACGGGUAGCCGGCCUGAGAGGGCGACCGGCCACACUGGGACUGAGACACGGCCCAGACUCCUACGGGAGGCAGCAGUGGGGAAUAUUGCGCAAUGGGCGAAAGCCUGACGCAGCGACGCCGCGUGGGGAUGAAGGCCUUCGGGUUGUAAACCCUUUCAGCAGGGACGAAGCGAAAGUGACGGUACCUGCAGAAGAAGCGCCGGCUAACUACGUGCCAGCAGCCGC